rnacentral:rRNA from 1 species
GCACAAGCGGUGGAGCAUGUGGUUUAAUUCGAUGAUACGCGAGGAGCCUUACCUGGGCUCAAAUGUAUGUUGACGUAUUUCUGAAAGGGAUACUUCUUCGGACAAUAUACAAGGUGCUGCAUGGUUGUCGUCAGCUCGUGCCGUGAGGUGUCGGGUUAAGUCCCAUAACGAGCGCAACCCCUAUCAUUAGUUGCCAUCAGGUCAAGCUGGGGACUCUAAUGAAACUGCCUACGCAAGUAGUGAGGAAGGUGGGGAUGACGUCAAAUCAGCACGGCCCUUACGUCCAGGGCUACACACGUGCUACAAUGGUCGGUACAAAGGGUUGCCAAGCCGCGAGGUGGAGCUAAUCCCAUAAAACCGAUCGUAGUCCGGAUCGCAGUCUGCAACUCGACUGCGUGAAGUCGGAAUCGCUAGUAAUCGUGAAUCAGAAUGUCACGGUGAAUACGUUCCCGGGCCUU